GUGCCAGCAGCCGCGGUAAUACGUAGGGUGCGAGCGUUAAUCGGAAUUACUGGGCGUAAAGCGUGCGCAGGCGGUGCACCAAGCUCGAUGUGAAAGCCCCGGGCUUAACCUGGGAAUUGCAUUGAGGACUGGUGUGCUCGAGUGCGGCAGAGGGGGGUGGAAUUCCACGUGUAGCAGUGAAAUGCGUAGAGAUGUGGAGGAACACCGAUGGCGAAGGCAGCCCCCUGGGCCGACACUGACGCUCAUGCACGAAAGCGUGGGGAGCAAACAGGAUUAGAAACCCUUGUAGUCC
rnacentral:rRNA from 1 species